AUUGAACGCUGGCGGCAGGCCUAACACAUGCAAGUCGAACGAGUGGCGGACGGGAGAGCAAUGCUUGGGAAUCUGGCUUAUGGAGGGGGAUAACGACGGGAAACUGUUGCUAAUACCGCGUACCAUAGGAUGAGCCCAAGUGGGUGUAGGUAGUUGGUGGGGUAAUGCCCUACCAAGCCGACGAACUCUAGCUGGUCUGAGAGGAGGACCAGCCACACCGGAACUGAGACACGGCCCGGACUCCUACGGGAGGCAGCAGUGGGGAAUAUUGCGCAAUGGGGGAAACCUGACGCAGCCAUGCCGCGUGAGUGAAGAAGGCCUUCGGAUUGUAAAGUUCUUUCGGUGACGAGGCGUUAAUCACAGAAGAAGCACCGGCUAACUCCGUGCCAGCAGCCGCGGUAAUUC
rnacentral:rRNA from 1 species